rnacentral:lncRNA from 1 species
GCCUACUUCUGUAAUGAUAUUUGGACGUCUGAGUGACAUACUUGGGUUUUUUUUAAACCGGAUUUUCUUAUAUCUUGCAGCUGCAGGUUUUGGAUAUAAACAAAACAUGACAAAUUUGUUUUUCCCAAUAGCUACAGGUUGUGAAUUAAUUAAGUAGUGUAUAAGAGAAAAACAAUUUUUGGCGAACACAUGGUUCUUUGCUUUUAUUAGCCCUGAUUUUUUUAAUCAGUUAAUAUAUUAUAUAUGUUUUGGAAAGCAAUUCGUAAAACUACAUUGUGUAAUGUUUUUCACUGAUCAGAAAAGUCUAUUAAAUAAAUUGUAUAUCGCUCUCACAAUUUGAUAUUUCAUAAAUAUCACGACAAAGUGCAGUUUUCCAAAUAUAAGUUCCUUGAAGACACCAAUACCAUAUUAAUAUUGAUAUUGAACAACGAAUGAACAUGUGUCAACAAAAUAGAUAGAGAGCAAGUGAAAUAAUCAUGAAAUACCUAAAGUACAUCUCAAAGAUUCGUCGGUCAUCAAUUUGUAUCGAAAAAUACUAUUUCUUCAAAUAUCAUCAAAG